UGUGUUUUUGACAAGUGCUCCAGCCCGGAGAUGGCUGCCCAUCGUAUGUUCUCUCUGAGAACAUACGAUGGGCAGAAGGAGUAUGGCUGAUUUCUCCAUGGAGUUCUGGACCCUGGUAGAGGAGACGGGCUGGAAAGAGAAGGUGCUUAGAGGAGCUUUCCUGAACGGCCUCAAUGAAAGGAUAACACGCAGACCUUAAUCAAGCAUUCGCAGUUGAGGUGGAUGCCUCGGACUCUGGUGUGGGGGCGGUCCUCUCGCAGCGAUUUGAAGGCCAGGCUCACGCAACACUGAACCCGACGUCCUCUCAUGUCAAUUCUCACUGGUGGAGGAUGCAGAGGAAAAGGACAAACCCAUUCUUCCUGCUUCCUGUAUCAUCGGGACAGUCACCUGGGAGAUCGAGAGGCUAGUCAUAAAUGCCCUGCAGCAGGAUCCAGACCCUGGGUCAGGGCAGGCAGUACGUCCCUGUGGUUGUUCGGGGCAAGGUGAUCCACUAGGCACAUACGGCAAAGUUCUCCUGCCAUCUGGAUCGGAAUCUCACACUUAGAUUCCUCCAACGUCUAUAUUGGUGGCCUUCCCUUGCCAAGGACGUCCGGGAAUAUGCGACGGCCUUGGCCAAUUUGUGCUCAAAACAAGGCACCAAGCUCUCAGCUGUUGGGCCACCUGCGACCACUCCCAUGGCUCAUGGUUGCACAUUGCCGUGGAUAUUGUCACUGGACUGCCGC
ensembl:lncRNA